rnacentral:rRNA from 1 species
GAUGAACGCUGGCGGCGUGCCUAAUACAUGCAAGUCGAGCGAACAGACGAGGAGCUUUCUCCUCUGACGUUAGCGGCGGACGGGGGAGUAACACGUGGAUAACCUACCUAUAAGACUGGGAUAACUUCGGGAAACCGGAGCUAAUACCGGAUAAUAUAUUGAACCGCAUGGUUCAAUAGUGAAAGACGGUUUUGCUGUCACUUAUAGAUGGAUCCGCGCCGCAUUAGCUAGUUGGUAAGGUAACGGCUUACCAAGGCAACGAUGCGUAGCCGACCUGAGAGGGUGAUCGGCCACACUGGAACUGAGACACGGUCCAGACUCCUACGGGAGGCAGCAGUAGGGAAUCUUCCGCAAUGGGCGAAAGCCUGACGGAGCAACGCCGCGUGAGUGAUGAAGGUCUUCGGAUCGUAAAACUCUGUUAUUAGGGAAGAACAAAUGUGUAAGUAACUAUGCACGUCUUGACGGUACCUAAUCAGAAAGCCACGGCUAACUACGUG